CAUGCGUAUGCGCUUGCCUUCCCCGGAAGCGCAUGCGCUGCUGACCGCUUCUUGUAAAACUGACUUUCCAACGAACUCCAUUUAUGAGGGUAGAAGAAAACAAAGAGAAAUUGUAUUCUGGAUCUCAUCAACAAGGAGAAACUGGUUGCUAAGGAGAAGAUGAUGGAAACUUUCUGAAGAAGUGACCACUGUCUCUUGAGUCUGUUGAUAGAGCCCAAAAAAAUCCAGGCAAAGAGAAAAAGACUUUGGACUCCCACAGACAGAACAAACAGUUGAUACCCAAGACGAAUAGACACUAACUGUCCUGGAUGAGUUCAAGUCACCUGGCACAGCUAAGCUAUUCUCAGGUACUGAAAGAAUUGGGGAAUGUGAGUGAUUUCUCUUUACCAGAAAGCCUGAAGUAGGGUAUACUACUUAGGUAGUAGUGGGAAGCCUUGCGUGGGGUAGUAGUAGAAUUUGGAAGGACUACAUAGGAAACUAAGGAAGGUGGGGCUUCUGAGGGUGGGUUGCCUGACUCUGCUUUCCUUUGUUAGGGAGCCUUAAUCCUAGGGUGAUAUAAUUUCUAAAGACCUAUAUAAGUCACUGGCAAAGAAAAGGCCCUCCAGAUGGGGAAGGAGAGUAAUUUUAACUAUUUAUGACCUCAGGCAAGACUUUUGCAUUUUUAUGUUGGGUAAUACACAAAGCCUGUCCUGUGUUCAUUGUAAUGGUAGCUUGAAUACAUGGGAUCUGACAGUCUUUUUGCCUUUUGGAGAACUGGAAAUAGCCAGAUUAUAAUGUUCUCUGAGGAAGCCCUGGCCACAUGGCAAAGAAUCAUUUAUGAUCCAGGAUAGAACCAAGUCCAGGUAAACCCAAGGCCUUCAGUUCUAGGCUAUGGUUAUUCUCCUGCCCUUCUUACUUUCUCCUCCCUCUGUAGAGACAUCAACUUGACAUUUCAUAUACUUCAUAUGGUAUCCAAGCCCCAGGCCUUGUUAUCAAAGCUGAGUUGGAAGGAGGUACAGCUGAAGGACGUUCCAGGCAGAGUGUGAGGAUAGGGAAUGUCAGCAGCCACCAUGAAAUACCAAGCUUUGGGAGUGAGAAGGGGAUAAAAGGGACAAGUCAGGUCGGUCAAAUGGUAAUCUCUUGAUCCAUAUUGACUUCCCAGUCUGAAUAUCUGCUCCAGCCCUGGUUCCCCUAAGAAUAAACAAACAAACAAAAAAUUCUGGUACCAGCUUGGCCUGCUCUUGUGACUUAGCAUUUGUGUAACCUGAUUUAGAUCCUGCCCUUCUUCCCAGAAAGGGGAGUACCUAGAGGUGUGCUGGUAAAUGUUUAAUAACCAGCUGUAUGAAAACACAAUACGCUUUUAAGCUUAAUCCUCAUUUUAAAAACAAUUUUUUUUGGGAGGGCUGGGCAAUGGAGUUAGGUGACUUGCCCAGGG